AUUCAUAUAGUUUAUAAAACAUUUUAUUUUCAUUAAAAAAAAGAAUACAAUUAUUCUAUGAAUU
rnacentral:tRNA from 1 species